rnacentral:rRNA from 1 species
GAGUUUGAUUCUGGCUCAGGAUGAACGCUGGCGGCGUGCGUAACACAUGCAAGUUGGACGACGGUGCUAUGAAGUGGUAACACGGAAUGGUAUACGGAGUAGCGGACGGGUGAGUAAAGCAUGAGGAGCUGUCCUGUUGAGGGGGAUAACGUUCGGAAACGGACCCUAAUACCCCAUAGGCCGAGAGGUUAAAGGCAGAGAUGCGCGACAGGAGGUACUCGUGUCCUAUCAGCUAGUUGGUGAGGUAACGGCUCACCAAGGCGACGACGGGUAGCCGGCCUGAGAGGGUGACCGGCCACACUGGAACUGAGACACGGUCCAGACUCCUACGGGAGGCAGCAGUGGGGAAUAUUGGGCAAUGGGAGGAAUCCUGACCCAGCGACGCCGCGUGAACGAAGACGGCCUUCGGGUUGUAAAGUUCUUUUAUGUGGGAAGAAGGAAGUGA